rnacentral:sRNA from 3 species
UGACCACUUACCUUCUAUGAGGAAGUCAAGGCCAUACGGACAGCCGGGUCAAAUGCCGA